GAUAAGCUGGUAACAGCUUUUCAACUUGAGAGUUUGAUCCUGGCUCAGAACGAACGCUGGCGGCAGGCCUAACACAUGCAAGUCGAGC
rnacentral:rRNA from 1 species